UCCCCAGUCAGAACAGAUGUCAGCACUUCAGCGGACUCUGAAGCAGCUACCAAAGAGAAAGGUUCAGCCCCCAGCCUCCAUAGUUACUGGCUUGUUAAAGCCUAUAGGAGAAGAAGCAUCGUCCAAGACACUGUGAAGUUUGAGAAGGCUGUGUCGAAAAAGAGACUCAGCUUUUCUAGCCCAACAUUAAGGAGAAGCCUAUUUCAGCAUGGAUGUCCAGAGGACUGGUUCGGUGGUGCGUCCACCAAGCCCCAUGGAGAGCCUGGAGAAGCAGCUGAGCUGCCCCAUCUGCCUGGAGAUGUUCACUAAGCCCGUCGUCAUCCUGCCCUGCCAGCACAACCUGUGCCGUGGCUGUGCCAGCGACCUCUACGACUCACGCAAUCCCUACCGCUUCUCGGGUGGCGUCUUCCGCUGCCCCACCUGCCGCUUCGAGGUGGUCCUGGACCGCCACGGCGUGCACGGCCUUCAACGCAACCUGCUGGUGGAGAACAUCAUCGACAUCUACAAGCAACAGCAGGAGGGCGGCGGGGGUAGUGGCAGCGGAGACAGCACAGAGACUCCACUGAAGCCCAAGGACUCUAAGGAACCCAUGUGCCAGGAGCACGAGGAGGAGAAGAUCAACAUCUACUGCGUAACCUGCCAGAUGCCCACCUGCUCCAUGUGCAAAGUGUUUGGCCAGCACAAGGACUGUGAGGUGUCGCCGCUUGCCAGUGUUUACCAGGUGCAGAAGGGUGAGCUUAGCAACGCCAUCGACGCCCUGGUGGCGGGCAAUGGGCGCCUUCAGGCCCUACUCAACCAGAUGGAGGACGCCUGCCGGGCGGUACAGGACAAUGCACAGCGCGCCAAGCAAAGCUUGGGUGAGCGCUUCGACCUGCUCUAUGCUGUGCUGGAGGAGCGUAAGGGCAUGCUGCUGGAACAGAUCGGCAAGGAGCAGGACGAGAAGGUGACAGCAUUGCGGGCGCUGGCCCAGCGCUAUGGCGAACGACUGCAGGCAGGCUCAGAGCUGACUGACACGGCGGUUCAGGCCCUGGAGCAGAGUGGUGCUGCCGAGUUCCUGCUGGCCUCCAAGGGCCUGAUUACACAGACCAAGGACACCGCCAAGAGCUCCCUGGGCGAGGAGAGGCCCGAGCCAGGCUUCGAGAAGAUGGACCACUUCACACUGUCCACAGAGCAUGUGGAGGUCGUCCUGGCCAAGAUGGACUUUGGAAUGGUCGACGAUGAUGAGUUUGAGGAUGCGGAAGGGGAUGAAGAGGAGGAGUGAUGAAACUUGAAAAUAUACGAACAGAACAAAUGAACAAUUUACUACUUUUGAAGGCUCUUCAACCUGAAUGUCCAUUGCAGGGACUCUAGUUUCAAUGUUUCAGAGAUAUUAAGAUAAUUUAGGAGUAAGGAAGGAUGGAAGAAGUUGGUUGUGUCAGAAUGUUUUCGUAAGGAGUGGAUUGACUUUAAUACACAAUGGCUUACCCCAGUUUUGAGUGCAAUAUUUAGGUUUUUGUACUCUUAAACUUUGCCAUUUGGUAAACUAUAUAGUUUUUUUAUACUUUUGUAUUUCCAUAUCAGAUUUAUUCAGAUCUAUUUGUUAUGUACCUUAGGUUGAAUACACUCUGGUUGUUUACACUUGAAGACUUUAUCAGGUGUAGAGAUUGAGAUGGGAAUAAAGUUUUGAUUUGUGAUUUCUCAUCUGCAUCUAGAAUGCCUGUGGUUGUAUCAAACGGAUAAAUGCUUGAAUUGAUUGCGUGCCCUCAACUGGCAACAGAAUAUUUAGACAGAUCUGUUUUCGUCGCAACCUGAAAUAAACAAUGCUUCAAAUGA